AUGGGAACGCGAAGAACCUUACCUAGACUUGACAUCUCCUGAAUAGUGUAGAGAUACAUGAAGCCCUUCGGGGCAGGAAGACAGGUGGUGCAUGGUUGUCGUCAGCUCGUGUCGUGAGAUGUUGGGUUAAGUCCCGCAACGAGCGCAACCCUUAUUACUAGUUGCUACCAUUAAGUUGAGCACUCUAGUGAGACUGCCCGGGUUAACCGGGAGGAAGGCGGGGAUGACGUCAAAUCAUCAUGCCCCUUAUGUCUAGGGCAACACACGUGCUACAAUGGUGAGCACAGAUAGAUGCGAUACCGCAAGGUGGAGCCAAACUCUAAAACUCAUCCCAGUUCGGAUUGUAGGCUGCAACUCGCCUACAUGAAGUUGGAGUUGCUAGUAAUCGCGAAUCAGAAUGUCGCGGUGAAUACGUUCCCGGG
rnacentral:rRNA from 1 species